rnacentral:rRNA from 1 species
CCUUACACAUGCAAGUCGAACGGUAACAGGUCUUCGGAUGCUGACGAGUGGCGAACGGGUGAGUAAUACAUCGGAACGUGCCCGAGAGUGGGGGAUAACGAAGCGAAAGCUUUGCUAAUACCGCAUACGAUCUCAGGAUGAAAGCAGGGGACCGCAAGGCCUUGCGCUCACGGAGCGGCCGAUGGCAGAUUAGGUAGUUGGUGGGAUAAAAGCUUACCAAGCCGACGAUCUGUAGCUGGUCUGAGAGGACGACCAGCCACACUGGGACUGAGACACGGCCCAGACUCCUACGGGAGGCAGCAGUGGGGAAUUUUGGACAAUGGGCGCAAGCCUGAUCCAGCCAUGCCGCGUGCAGGAUGAAGGCCUUCGGGUUGUAAACUGCUUUUGUACGGAACGAAAAGACUCUGGUUAAUACCUGGGGUCCAUGACGGUACCGUAAGAAUAAGCACCGGCUAACUACGUGCCAGCAGCCGCGGUAAUACGUAGGGUGCGAGCGUUAAUCGGAAUUACUGGGCGUAAAGCGUGCGCAGGCGGUUAUGUAAGACAGAUGUGAAAUCCCCGGGCUCAACCUGGGAACUGCAUUUGUGACUGCGUAGCUAGAGUACGGCAGAGGGGGAUGGAAUUCCGCGUGUAGCAGUGAAAUGCGUAGAUAUGCGGAGGAACACCGA